rnacentral:rRNA from 1 species
GACGAACGCUGGCGGCGUGCUUAACACAUGCAAGUCGAACGGAAAGGCCCUGCCUUUGUGGGGUGCUCGAGUGGCGAACGGGUGAGUAACACGUGAGUAACCUGCCCUUGACUUUGGGAUAACUUCAGGAAACUGGGGCUAAUACCGGAUAGGAGCUCCUGCUGCAUGGUGGGGGUUGGAAAGUUUCGGCGGUGGGGGAAGGACUCGGCGUUUAUCAGCUUGUUGGUGGGGUAGUGGCUUACCAAGGCUUUGACGGGUACCCGGCCUGAGAGGGUGACCGGCCACAUUGGGACUGAUAUACGGUACAGACUCCUGCGGGAGGCAGCAGUGGGGAAUAUUGCACAAUGGGCGGAAGCCUGAUGCAGCAGCGCCGCGUGCGGGAUGACGGCCUUCGGUUUGUAAACCGCUUUCGCCUGUGACGAAGCGUGAGUGACGGUAAUGGGUAAAGAAGCACCGGCUAACUACGUG